CACUGUGCCAGAGUAUCUCAGGUGGAAACGCCGUGUUGUUGUCAAAGGGCAUGUCGCCAGUGUAUGUAUGCAGAAGCUUUAUGGCUUGAUGUACAUGACUGACUUCACACUAAGGUUUUUCAACGGGAAAACUUUACUGAAAAGGACAUUGUUGAUGGACUGGUGAUGGACAACAGUAAAGUUUUCACCACAAAUAAGAUGAGGACAAUGGAGAAGAUGUUGAAAAACCCUGAUGUUCAUACACCCCAUCCUCACAGAAAAC